GUCCUUGCCUUAAACUAUGUAUACUUGGUGUUGUUAGGCUCAACCCUGACAGUACCGUAGCGAACGCGUUAAGUAUACCGCCUGGGGGAGUACGCUCGCAAGGGUAAAAACUCAAAAGAAUUGAACGGGGACCCGCACAAGCAGUGGAGCAUGUGGUUUAAUUCGAUGCAACGCGAAGAACCUUACCUGGACUUGACAUGCUUUUGACCGCCGUAGAAAUACGGUUUUCUCGCAAGAGACAGAAGCACAGGUGCUGCAUGGCUGUCGU
rnacentral:rRNA from 1 species